GAAUUUUGGACAAUGGGGGCAACCCUGAUCCAGCCAUCCCGCGUGUGCGAUGAAGGCCUUCGGGUUGUAAAGCACUCUUGGCAGGGAAGAAAAGGCUCUGGCUAAUACCUGGAGCUGCUGACGGUACCUGCAGAAUAUGCCCCGGCUAACUACGUGCCAGCCGCCGCGGUAAUACGUAGGGUGCAAGCGUUAAUCGGAAUUACUGGGCGUAAAGCGGGCGCAGGCGGUUCGGCAAGAAGGAUGUGAAAUCCCAGGGCUUAACCUUGGAACUGCAUUCUUAACUGCCGGGCUAGAGUAUGUCAGAGGGGGGGUAGAAUUCCGCGUGUAGCAGUGAAAUGCGUAGAGAUGCGGAGGAAUACCGAUGGCGAAGGCAGCCCCCUGGGAUAAUACUGACGCUCAUGCACGAAGGCGUGGGGAGCAAAC
rnacentral:rRNA from 1 species